ensembl:snoRNA
UGGAUCAAUGAUGAUGACUGGUGAUGUAUUAGUCACAUGCAAUGAGUACUACGUGUCUGGAACUCUGAGGCCCAA